UGACCAGACUCCUACGGGAGGCAGCAGUGGGGGAUAUUGCACAAUGGGGGGAACCCUGAUGCAGCGACGCCGCGUGGGUGAAGGAGCGUUUCGGCGCGUAAAGCCCUAUCGGCAGGGAAGAAGGAGGACGGUACCUGACUAAGAAGCCCCGGCUAACUACGUGCCAGCAGCCGCGGUAAUACGUAGGGGGCAAGCGUUAUCCGGAUUUACUGGGUGUAAAGGGAGCGUAGACGGUAUGGCAAGUCUGAAGUGAAAGCCCCGGGCUCAACCUGGGAACUGCUUUGGAAACUGUUAAACUAGAGUGCUGGAGAGGCAGGCGGAAUUCCUAGUGUAGCGGUGAAAUGCGUAGAUAUUAGGAGGAACACCAGUGGCGAAGGCGGCCUGCUGGACAGUAACUGACGUUGAGGCUCGAAAGCGUGGGGAGCAAACAGGAUUAGAUACCCCUGUAC
rnacentral:rRNA from 1 species